GGAUGUGAGGGUGAUCUGGCUGCAACAUCUGUCACCUCACUGAUUGCCAGGGUUGAUUCGGCUGAUUUGGCUGGUUAGGCAGGUGUCCCCUUCCUCCAUCACCGCUCCAUGUGCAUCCCUCCUGAAGCUGUGUGCUUGGUCGAAGAAGAAGGCCUUCCCCACAUAGAGUCAGACUGGUCUUUGGGCAAGAGUAGCUGCACUCCCCUGCUAGAACCUCCAAACAAGCUCUCAAGGUCCAUCAUUGGUUCUAUGAAACUCAUUUGGCCUUUGAAAUCCACAGGGUCCUUUUGGGUGU
ensembl:misc_RNA 7SK 7SK RNA